rnacentral:rRNA from 1 species
GGGAAUUUUGGGCAAUGGGCGAAAGCCUGACCCAGCAACGCCGCGUGAGGGAUGAAGUAUUUCGGUAUGUAAACCUCGAAAGAAUGGGAAGAAUAAAUGACGGUACCAUUUAUAAGCUCCGGCUAACUACGUGCCAGCAGCCGCGGUAAUACGUAGGGAGCAAGCGUUGUUCGGAUUUACUGGGCGUAAAGGGCGCGUAGGCGGCGCGGUAAGUCACUUGUGAAAUCUCUGAGCUUAACUCAGAACGGCCAAGUGAUACUGCUGUGCUAGAGUGCGGAAGAGGCAACCGGAAUUCUUGGUGUAGCGGUGAAAUGCGUAGAUAUCAAGAGGAACACCUGAGGCGAAGGCGGGUUGCUGGGCCGACACUGACGCUGAUGCGCGAAAGCCAGGGGAGCAAAC